AACGAACGUUAGCGGCGCGCCUAACACAUGCAAGUCGCACGAGAAAGGGCUUCGGCCCCGGUAAAGUGGCGCACGGGUGAGUAACACGUGGGUAACCUGCCCUCGAGCGGGGGAUAACAUUCCGAAAGGAGUGCUAAUACCGCAUAAGACCACGAUCUCGAAAGAGGACGAGGUAAAAGCUGGCCUCUGUAUACAAGCUAGCACUUGAGGAUGGGCCCGCGGCGCAUCAGGUAGUUGGUGAGGUAACGGCUCACCAAGCCGAAGACGCGUAGCUGGUCUGAGAGGAUGAUCAGCCACACUGGAACUGAGACACGGUCCAGACUCCUACGGGAGGCAGCAGUGGGGAAUCUUGCGCAAUGGGCGAAAGCCUGACGCAGCGACGCCGCGUGAGUGAUGAAGGCCUUCGGGUUGUAAAGCUCUGUGGGGCGAGACGAAUAAGUGCAGCCCAAUACGCUGCAUGAUGACGGUAUCGCCUUAGCAAGCACCGGCUAACUCUGUGCCAGCCGCCGCGGUAAAAC
rnacentral:rRNA from 1 species